rnacentral:lncRNA from 1 species
UCACACCUCCGUGAGCGGCCUCGGGCUCGCGGUUGAGGCUGAUUGAGGAAGUGGGUUCAGGCGGCCCGCCGUGCCUGGCACACGGUCAGAGUCCCCCCACAGCAACCAGGGAAAUAGUCUAACAGAAGCCUAGGAUGAAGAAUUUCGGGAAAGAAGAAACGUCCAGCAAGGCCAAGUCCCUUUGUGUGUCAGUCUGCUUUCUCUCUCACACAUACGUGCACACAGGCUCGUACACACAAAGAUGUUAAGCAAAAUAUAAAGCCCCUCCACUGAU